rnacentral:lncRNA from 1 species
UGACAAGGGAUGAGCUUUGUUGCCUCCUUUUAAAACUUCCUGUCCAACUUGCAGAGUUUGUGUUCAGGUGGUCCCUGUUCUUGUUCAAUAGUAGUAGUAACUUCAAAUCAAGAUUCUGAACAUUUUCUUUUACUUUCUGUUCAAGAAAAUGUUCUUUUUGUUUCACGUAUAAAAAUAUUGGCCGUAUGGUCAGACAGUAGAACUGUAGAAUAUAAGAUUAUACACUUUUAUAUAUAAAUAGCAUUGCAGUUCUGAUGGAUCUUUGUUUUCCUUUUCCAUCUCUGAAAAAUUGCUUGUUUUGUUUUUCUUUUCAGUUGGCCACUAGCAGUGUCGAGUGAAUGUGACUACCAAUUCCCAUUUUUAUCCUGUUCCUGAACCUGAAGAGAGACUGCCAAGCUCUUGCUGACAUGCUUCUUGUUGAAUGCUUCUGUUCCAUUUCCAGCGAUGAGGAUGGCACCUUGCUGUUCAGAGUUCAGACUCCAGAGGCGUAUCUUUGCCUGCAUUAUUAUUCUUCCCACCCAGAACGACUAUCUGAACGGUGCCAAGUCGCCUUUCGACACUUGCUGCUCUGGAUUGAAAAGAAUCAUACAUGGGAAUAGCAGGUGAUAGCUGGACUCCCUUGUGCAUCUUCUUCUGUUGUCUGCGUGCUUUAUCGGGCCGUGCAGACCCGCAUCAUACGUUUCUAUGAUCAAGUUCGUUCAUGGAGAAUUAUUGGUGUGCGAGGCUUAAUUGCAGCAUGUUGCUGCCACCGCACAUUAGGAGACGCAACCAUACCUUGUUUAAUUCUUGUAUAAAGUCUAGCAGCUCAUUGGCACCACUAUGCAAGGAGAGUGGUGCAGAAAAGAGGUGCAUUAGCUGUACUCGUGUUGUUCUUUUCAUAUAUUCUUCUAGAACAUGAGGCAUGCAUAUUUUUAUAUACUUUUCUGUUGAUUUGGUGUGGAGGAAAAAAGAAAUACAUACAUAGGGAUAGGGGGGAUGUUUUGUUUUAGAGACAUACUAAUUAAACCAGCUUACAUCAUUGUAGGUUUUGGUUAUGGCCAUUAAUUAGCUUGGCCUGAGUGAUGGGCAAAUCAUUGUGUCCACCCUGUCUACAGCAUGUGCAGCAAUUGCUGCGUUGAUGCUGCAUGAGUGGUGUGGUUAGACAAAUAUUCCUCCAUUCUGGAGUUUAGGCCACAUAACACAUUCCUCUGCCGCAUUGUUAUAUAGGAUAUAUAGGAUACUACUCACCACAUGCAUGAUAGAUGGGCAUGCAGGAGCAGCCAUGCCAAUGCCAUGCAUUGCCAACAAAUGAUCAGUUGGGUUGAGGCUACAAUGCCAUACCAAGGUCACCUGCUCUCAGCAUCUGCUCGAGGAAUGUGAGUUGGCAAGCUGUUGGCUCGGAAAGCUUGCAGCAGCUAGCAGCCUAGCAUAGCAACGCUUGCCUGUGCUGUGAUCGAUAUAUACUACAUGUUCCUGCUCCUUUAUGUUUAGCUCAACUUAGGUAGUGAUGAUUGCUGGAUAUUAUUCUUUACUGAGAUGUUAUAUAUGGUUGGAGAUUUUGCUAGGAAGAUAACAUGUGAGCAUGUGCACUCUUUUUCUUAACAAUAGACACCUGUAUUGUAUUGUAUUGUAUUGUGACAACAGAAUAUGCACUGCACACACAUUCCUGAUAUUCUAGAUACGAGUACGAGUACUAGGGAAGCAGGUUUUUUUUUUCUUCUGUUUGCUGUCAUAUGGCCCAUACUUCAUCCAUUCCAAAAUAAAUCAACUUGUGGCUAAGAAGUUGAUUUAUUUUGGAACAGAGGGAGUACACGAUAACUUGGAACCCCCAUCUGGUCAGUAUAUAGCUUAUGAGUUAGAGCAGCAUUCAUUAAUUAAUAUCUACAAACACAGAAGGAGAUUUGCAAGCAACAUUAAAAGCACAGGGCACUGAAGAACAACAAUGACCAGAAGUUACAGUAGAUUUUUUUUUUACAUGGCAAUGGCUAAUGAACGAACCUACUACAGGUGGUCAACGAGGAGAGGAGGAGAUGGCCAUACGGAGAAGGCAAAAACAAGGGCCAAAAAAAUAGCCUUCCCAUUGAUUGAUCUAUCUCCUCAGAAUGAACGCGUGCUUGCUUGAUGCUUCUUC